UUAAGGCUUUAUGAGUAUGGAUUUUAAAAGGAUUAAAAUGUUUUAAAUUAAUUCCAUUUUAAUGGAGUUUAAAAUGCUUAUUUAAGUCAUUUAUAAAUGAAUAAUGGAAUUUCGUAUUUAUUUACAUGGAAAUGAAAUGUAUAGAAUGUUACAAGAUGGUGCAUGAUUAUUAUUUUUUAUGUGAACAUGUGAAUUUCUAAAUGAUAUUAAGUUUAAGGAUGUUGAAUUCUUUUAUUUCGUUUGUUAUGUGGUUACGUGAUAUUAUGUGGUUAGUCGAUGUUAUGUUGGUUUUUGAUUGUUUUAAUCGAAACGACUUAUGGAUGCUAGAACCCUAAAACACUAAAAGAUACCCUAAGCACGUAGAAUUAGACUUUGUCUUGUGACAAUUUUCUUCACGAACUUACCGACUCUUCAUCAAUAAAGGUCCGGGCGACAGGAAGUGAAGCCGAAGAAUAAGCGACUCCACGCUAGCUUAAGAACGUUUGAGGUUGAGCACGCGAUGGAAUGGAUUGGUGUUGAGCGGAUUUCCCUUUUGAUGGUUAUGUAAUGAAACCUUGAGUAUGCAUCUCCAUAUGCAUAACUCACACGUUUUUCCGCUGCAAACACUCUGAAAUUAUUAUUGUAUUGUGGAACUUAUUACUCUUUUAUUUUGAUUAACUUUCAUUUGGGGUCUAGUCGCUAUGGCAGGCUCGUUUGUAAAUUACCCAAGCGGUUAUAUAUAUAUAUAUAUAUCACUAGUUUGUUAUUA